rnacentral:rRNA from 1 species
AGAAUCAACGCUGGCGGCGUGCCUAACACAUGCAAGUCGAACGCGAAAGUGGAGCAAUCCAUGAGUAGAGUGGCAAACGGGUGAGUAACGCGUGGGCGACCUACCUCUGAGUGGGGGAUAACCUUCCGAAAGGAGGGCUAAUACCGCAUGACAUCCCGUGUUUGGAUACACGGACAUCAAAGCCGGGGAUCGCAAGACCUGGCGCUUGGAGAGGGGCCCGCGUCCGAUUAGCUAGUUGGUGAGGUAACGGCUCACCAAGGCUUCGAUCGGUA